rnacentral:rRNA from 1 species
CAUAUUGUGAGCUCGAUGAGUAGGGCGGGACACGUGGUAUCCUGUCUGAAUAUGGGGGGACCAUCCUCCAAGGCUAAAUACUCCUGACUGACCGAUAGUGAACCAGUACCGUGAGGGAAAGGCGAAAAGAACCCCGGCGAGGGGAGUGAAAAAGAACCUGAAACCGUGUACGUACAAGCAGUGGGAGCACGCUUAGGCGUGUGACUGCGUACCUUUUGUAUAAUGGGUCAGCGACUUAUAUUCUGUAGCAAGGUUAACCGAAUAGGGGAGCCGAAGGGAAACCGAGUCUUAACUGGGCGUUAAGUUGCAGGGUAUAGACCCGAAACCCGGUGAUCUAGCCAUGGGCAGGUUGAAGGUUGGGUAACACUAACUGGAGGACCGAACCGACUAAUGUUGAAAAAUUAGCGGAUGACUUGUGGCUGGGGGUGAAAGGCCAAUCAAACCGGGAGAUAGCUGGUUCUCCCCGAAAGCUAUUUAGGUAGCGCCUCGUGAAUUCAUCUCCGGGGGUAGAGCACUGUUUCGGCAAGGGGGUCAUCCCGACUUACCAACCCGAUGCAAACUGCGAAUACCGGAGAAUGUUAUCACGGGAGACACACGGCGGGUGCUAACGUCCGUCGUGAAGAGGGAAACAACCCAGACCGCCAGCUAAGGUCCCAAAGUCAUGGUUAAGUGGGAAACGAUGUGGGAAGGCCCAGACAGCCAGGAUGUUGGCUUAGAAGCAGCCAUCAUUUAAAGAAAGCGUAAUAGCUCACUGGUCGAGUCGGCCUGCGCGGAAGAUGUAACGGGGCUAAACCAUGCACCGAAGCUGCGGCAGCGACGCUGAUGCGUUGUUGGGUAGGGGAGCGUUCUGUAAGCCUGUGAAGGUGUGCUGUGAGGUAUGCUGGAGGUAUCAGAAGUGCGAAUGCUGACAUAAGUAACGAUAAAGCGGGUGAAAAGCCCGCUCGCCGGAAGACCAAGGGUUCCUGUCCAACGUUAAUCGGGGCAGGGUGAGUCGACCCCUAAGGCGAGGCCGAAAGGCGUAGUCGAUGGGAAACAGGUUAAUAUUCCUGUACUUGGUGUUACUGCGAAGGGGGGACGGAGAAGGCUAUGUUGGCCGGGCGACGGUUGUCCCGGUUUAAGCAUGUAGGCUGGUUUUCCAGGCAAAUCCGGAAAACUAAGGCUGAGGCGUGAUGACGAGGCACUACGGUGCUGAAGCAACAAAUGCCCUGCUUCCAGGAAAAGCCUCUAAGCAUCAGGUAACAUCAAAUCGUACCCCAAACCGACACAGGUGGUCAGGUAGAGAAUACCAAGGCGCUUGAGAGAACUCGGGUGAAGGAACUAGGCAAAAUGGUGCCGUAACUUCGGGAGAAGGCACGCUGAUAUGUAGGUGAAGUCCCUCGCGGAUGGAGCUGAAAUCAGUCGAAGAUACCAGCUGGCUGCAACUGUUUAUUAAAAACACAGCACUGUGCAAACACGAAAGUGGACGUAUACGGUGUGACGCCUGCCCGGUGCCGGAAGGUUAAUUGAUGGGGUCAGCGCAAGCGAAGCUCUUGAUCGAAGCCCCGGUAAACGGCGGCCGUAACUAUAACGGUCCUAAGGUAGCGAAAUUCCUUGUCGGGUAAGUUCCGACCUGCACGAAUGGCGUAAUGAUGGCCAGGCUGUCUCCACCCGAGACUCAGUGAAAUUGAACUCGCUGUGAAGAUGCAGUGUACCCGCGGCAAGACGGAAAGACCCCGUGAACCUUUACUAUAGCUUGACACUGAACAUUGAGCCUUGAUGUGUAGGAUAGGUGGGAGGCUUUGAAGUGUGGACGCCAGUCUGCAUGGAGCCGACCUUGAAAUACCACCCUUUAAUGUUUGAUGUUCUAACGUUGACCCGUAAUCCGGGUUGCGGACAGUGUCUGGUGGGUAGUUUGACUGGGGCGGUCUCCUCCUAAAGAGUAACGGAGGAGCACGAAGGUUGGCUAAUCCUGGUCGGACAUCAGGAGGUUAGUGCAAUGGCAUAAGCCAGCUUGACUGCGAGCGUGACGGCGCGAGCAGGUGCGAAAGCAGGUCAUAGUGAUCCGGUGGUUCUGAAUGGAAGGGCCAUCGCUCAACGGAUAAAAGGUACUCCGGGGAUAACAGGCUGAUACCGCCCAAGAGUUCAUAUCGACGGCGGUGUUUGGCACCUCGAUGUCGGCUCAUCACAUCCUGGGGCUGAAGUAGGUCCCAAGGGUAUGGCUGUUCGCCAUUUAAAGUGGUACGCGAGCUGGGUUUAGAACGUCGUGAGACAGUUCGGUCCCUAUCUGCCGUGGGCGCUGGAGAACUGAGGGGGGCUGCUCCUAGUACGAGAGGACCGGAGUGGACGCAUCACUGGUGUUCGGGUUGUCAUGCCAAUGGCACUGCCCGGUAGCUAAAUGCGGAAGAGAUAAGUGCUGAAAGCAUCUAAGCACGAAACUUGCCCCGAGAUGAGUUCUCCCUGACUCCUUGAGAGUCCUGAAGGAACGUUGAAGACGACGACGUUGAUAGGCCGGGUGUGUAAGCGCAGCGAUGCGUUGAGCUAACCGGUACUAAUGAACCGUGAGGCUUAACCUUACAACGCCGAAGGUGUUU